ensembl:lncRNA
CCGUCUCCGUCUCCGGUAAUAUCUCUGUGGCCGUCUGACGCAGUUCAGACAUUUUGGGUAGAUUAUUCAACCACACCGGGCCGAAGACUAACAAGAAACUGAACAAAAGCCGUUUUUUACAACCACAACAACAAACAUCGUUCAAUAUGGGUCCACCAGGAGACAACCCACGUCGCGUGUCCUCUGAAAGAACGGAGGAUUUCAGUUGGUUUGUCCAUUUAUCUUGACAUGGCAUGCAAAGGGUUAGUUUUGGUGGUUGUGACGACUGAAGAGAAAACGCAGAUAAAUAGCUAACACCUCCCCACAAAAAUCAGCGUGUGAAAGAUAUUUAUGACUGCGUUUAUUGGUGUCGGGUAAAUAAAAUCAAGUUGGUUCUCUCGACGGGAAUCCUUAACAUCAUGAUGAUAUUGGAAGGAAAUGUUCAUGUAAAAUGACAGGAUACAACCGUUAAAUCUGUUCCGAUAUUAAAUAGCAAACCAGUUGGAAAUGUAAAAUGGUUAGAUGUCUCUCAGCUGGCUGGCUAACCGCACCACAUACAUGCCUCAAUUACUCCAAGUAACAAACAUAUGUAGCUAACUAGUUAAUCCACUAACUAGUUAGUGUAUGCAGACUAGAUAGCUCAUGUUAGCUAGUCAGCCCCCCAAAAAAUGCUGUCAUGAUGAGUAAAGACAAAGGCAGUAAACAAGGCCCCGGGCCAGUUCAAUGGCAGUAAACAAGGCCCCGGGCCAGUUCAAUGGAAGUAAACAAGGCCCCGGGCCAGUUCAAUGGCAGUAAACAAGGCCCCGGGCCAGUUCAAUGGCAGUAAACAAGGCCCCGGGCCAGUUCAAUGGCAGUAAACGAGGCCCCGGGCCAGUUCAAUGGCAGUAAACGAGGCCCCGGGCCAGUUCAAUGGCAGUAAACGAGGCCCCGGGCCAGUUCAAUGGCAGUAAACGAGGCCC